CAUCACAGCCCUGAAUCACCAGGGCAGGAGGGUAGGGGAAACAGAUUCUCUCUUCCUGAGACAAGAAAACAUCUUCUAAAUGUACCCACCUCUACUUCUAGCAAGCAUUCCUUGUUAGAUAGAAUCCUCUUUCGGGGAGGGGAAUAAAGGAGAAAGUGUCUU
rnacentral:lncRNA from 1 species